rnacentral:rRNA from 1 species
AGAGUUUGAUCCUGGCUCAGGACGAACGCUGGCGGCGUGCCUAAUACAUGCAAGUCGAGCGAAGUUAAGGGAGCUUGCUCCCAAGACUUAGCGGCGGACGGGUGAGUAACACGUGGGUAACCUACCUGUAAGACCGGGAUAACUCCGGGAAACCGGAGCUAAUACCAGAUAAUCAACUGAGUUGCAUAACAAAGUUGUGAAAGAUGGCGCAAGCUAUCACUUACAGAUGGGCCCGCGGCGCAUUAGCUAGUUGGUAGGGUAAAGGCCUACCAAGGCGACGAUGCGUAGCCGACCUGAGAGGGUGAUCGGCCACACUGGGACUGAGACACGGCCCAGACUCCUACGGGAGGCAGCAGUAGGGAAUCUUCCGCAAUGGACGAAAGUCUGACGGAGCAACGCCGCGUGAGUGAAGAAGGUUUUCGGAUUGUAAAACUCUGUCAUUAGGGAAGAACGGCUAUAGUUUAAAUAAGGCUAUAGAGUGACGGUACCUAAGGAGGAAGCCCCGGCUAACUACGUGCCAGCAGCCGCGGUAAU